rnacentral:rRNA from 1 species
UAGGGAAUCUUCGGCAAUGGACGAAAGUCUGACCGAGCAACGCCGCGUGAGUGAAGAAGGUUUCGAAUCGUAAAACUCUGUUGGUAGAGAAGAACGUUGGUGAGAGUGGAAAGCUCAUCAAGUGACGGUAACUACCCAGAAAGGGACGGCUAACUACGUGCCAC